UCAUAUGCUUGUCUCAAAGAUUAAGCCAUGCAUGUCUAAGAUCGCUAGGAACAGGUUCACGCCUGUUUACGAGUAAUCUGCGGAAGGCUCAUUAUAACAGUUACAAACUUAGCUACUAGCUUCUUUUAUAAGGAUAACACAGUCAAAUGCAGUGAUAAUACUUGAAUCAACGUCAGUGAAUUGUAUAGCUGACAAACAGUAGCAAACAAACGGAAGGUGUGCUACAACAUCUCUUCGGAGAUGGGUUGACCACAGUAUUGUGGCCUAGAAGAAGUAUUUCUUCCUUAUCAGCUAGUUGUUUCAGUAAGGGUGAAACAAGGCUAUCACGGGUACGGGGAAUCAGUGUUUGAUUCCGGAGAGGGAGCCUGAGAAAUGGCUACUACAUCUAAGGACGGCAGCAGGCGCGAAAAUUACCCAAUCCUAACAUUUGGGAGGUAGUGACAAGAAAUAACGUCCUUACAUUACAAGUGGAAGGGUACCGCAAGGUUUGGAAUGGUUCUAGUUCAAACUUCUAUUAGAGUAACAAUUGGAGGACAAGUCUUUUGGGCCAGCACCCGCGGUAAUUCCAGCUCCAAAAGCAUAUACUAAAAUUGCUGUAGUUAAAACGCUCGUAGUUUAUAUGAAGGGUUGGUUGUCGUGGUUCAGAAUGCGUCCUCUGACAGGAUGGCUCGCUUUGCGGGCGUUCUGCCAGAUGGGUGUAUUCUCUCCGGCACGUAUGUGGCAAUGAUUCGUUGGGCCUCUUCUCCCGACGGCUUUGCCAUGUGUGGGCCACGAUGCUGACCCUGCUUUUUGCAACCGUGAACAAAUUAAUGUGUUCAACGCGGGCAAUGUACGUUCUUACGAACGUUUAGCUUGAAUAAUUUAGCAUGGGACCACUAAAUCGUAGCAUCUUCGGGUGCUACGGAAGGGAAACAGGAGCCAGGAAGAGGACUCUGGUAUUGCGCGUCUAGAGGUGAAAUUCCGACAUUUUCGCAAGACGAACGGAGGCGUAGGCUGUCAUAGCCCAUCACAUCUUUAUUGAUCAGGAACGAAAGUCAGGGGAUCGAAGAUGAUUAGAUACCGUCGUAGUCCUGACCGUAAACGAUACUAACUCGAGUUUGAGUGUGAUACUUGUUUAGACGAUCGACACAGAAUCAAAGGGAAACCGUUAAGUCUUUGGGUUCUGGGGGGAGUAUAGUCGCAAGGCCGAAACUUAAAGGAAUUGACGGAAAGACACCACCAGGAGUGGAGUUUGCGGCUUAAUUCGACUCAACGCGGGAAAACUCACCAGGACAGGACAGAGUUAAGAUUGACAGGUUGAAUUUGGUCCUUUCUUGAUUCUCUGGAAGGUGGUGCAUGGCCGUUCUUAGUUCGUGGAGUGAUCUGUCUACUUAAUUGUGUUAACGAACGAGACCUUAACCUGUUAACUAGGCACUAGUUGGAUCGUUUUCGGACGGUUCAUUUGUUUCGGUGGUUACACUGAAAUCUAGGUAUCGUGUUCUUUGAACACGGCUUCUUAAAGGGACAAUACUGCGUAUUUAUUUUUAGCGUAGGGAAGAGUAAGGCAAUAACAGGUCUGUGAUGCCCUGAGAUAUCCUGGGCGGCACGCGUACUACAAUGUUAUUCACAACGAGUCUAUUCGUUAUUCACGUAACGAACCUGCACUUAAGUAGUGUGGGAAAACUUGUCAAAGGGUAACGAGACUGGGAUAGCUGUUUGUAAUUACAUCUUGAACGAGGAAUUCCUAGUAAGCGCAAGUCAUUAUCUUGCAUUGAUUACGUCCCUGUCUUUUGUACACACCGCCCGUCGCUCCUACCGAUUGGAUAGCAAGGUGAACUUGAUGGACUCGAUUUUUCGGGGAAAUCAAUUGAACCUUUCUAUCUGUAGGAAGGAGAAGUCGUAACAAGGUCUUC
rnacentral:rRNA from 1 species